rnacentral:tRNA from 1 species
GGGAAUGUGGCUCAGUGAUAGAGUACUUGCCUAGCAUGCAUGAAGCCCUGGGUUCGAUUCCUCAGUACCA